rnacentral:lncRNA from 1 species
UCAUUCUUAUGGCCAGCCAUAGCAAGAACAAAGGAAGAAAAGAAGAACAAAAACCCUAGAGUGAAAAUUCAAGAGAAAAUUGGUGUAUUUCAAGUAAUCAAGCCAUCAAAGGUGAAAUUUCUUAACUCUAGCUUGUGAUCUAUCUUUCCUAUGCAUUAUUUUGCAUUUUCCAUGGUUGAAUCACAAGAUAUCAUGAAGGAUAGUGUGCUGAUCAAACCCUAGGAGAGUGAAUUUGAUGAUUAUUUAGAUAGACUUUUAAGAUAUAUGGAUGUUUUUAGUUGUUUAUGGUGUUAAGUGUAAGAAUUAAGUUUGAAAUUCACAUAUUCCUCAUGAGUUCAUCAUUGGCCGAAUCUUCCUUGUAGAGUGUUGAUGGUGGAUUUGAUUUUAUUUCAAGUGAAUUGGUUAGGAAAUGAUGAAUUAUGGUGAGAAAAUCAAGUAGGAAAAAUCAUAGUGUUGAUGCACCGACCAUGGCCGAAUUUUCUAAAAGAAAAUGUGAGGAUGAAUCUGCCAUAUUUCAAGUUAUUUAACUUGUGUUUGAUGGUUUGGAGAAUUGGAAGAAAAAUGAAAUUAUUGGAGUUGAAUUGGACAUAUUGGCCAAUUAAUCGGGUGAUAGAUCGAGUUAGGCCAACACCGCAUGUAAACGAUAAUUCUAACAAUUUGCGUUCCAUAUCAUGCAUUCAUAUAGAGUUUAGAUUAGUUUUAUAACGAUUUAGCACCAAUGUGGUAAAUUGCUUGAUUGUGCAUUAUAUUUAGGUGGUGUGUAUUCUGGUAAAAGUAAAGAAAUAGUUCUCAAGGAUCAAGAAUCUGAGUACUCGAAACUCAAUUUCCAUUAUAGUGAGUAACCUUACUAUCGUCUUAAUUAUCUAAAGUAGUUUUUAUUCAUUUUUGUGAUUUGAUAGAAAAAUGAGUUUAAAUGGUAAAUCUUUAUGUUUUAUAAGCAAAAUAUGAUUAAAUGAAAUGAUUUUAGAAAAUUGUCUUGAAAUUGACAGAUGGUUUUGAAAAUGGAAUAAUUGGAGACUAAUUGCUAUGUUAUAAAUCAUGGUUUGAAUUGAAUGGCUUAUGAUAAUAUUGGCAUGAAUGGUUGGAUUUGGUAAAUGUGAUGAAAAAGUAUGAAUUGUUGAUUUGCCUUGAGAGGCUGUAAAAUAAAAUAAUUGUCAUGUCAUGCUGUUGAAUUUUAUUGAAUUGGUGGGUUAUAAUUGGUCGCUGCAGUGGACGGGUUCCAUAGACCAGCUUAUUAGAGGGGCACGGUAACCUUAUUAUAUUCAUAUCUCAGUAUGAGAGGCGCGGUUGGAUAACUCCUAAGGUUAAAACUUUAGAGUUCACUUCACGCCAAACCACCACGUGAGGGUGAACUCAACCAACGCCAAGAAACAACUAUGUUUUCAAAAUAAAAAUAUGAUUUAUGCAUACAUGACUUUUUAACAGCCUUGGCAGACUCGGUUGGGAUAGCCCUCGGCCAAGGUAUCCUUGAUAACUGAGUAUGAGAAUGAUUUUGGCACGAGCCAAACUUUUCAGGAAAUCAUAAGCCUUGUUGUUUAUUUUGGUGAAAUGAAUCUAUUUUAUCUUAUUAAAAUGAGUUCGAAAUGCUGAGAAUCAUUUUUAUGCUAAUCUAUUUUAUCUGUCUCCAUUUACUCAGCUUUAGAUAUUUUAGAUGGUAUUUGUUUACUCACUGGGAUUAUAUAAUCUCACCACCCUCCUUUCCACUCAUUUCAGGCUCAGGAUAGUCGAUAGAUAGCUCACUUUGUUGACGGCUAUAGUUGGACUUGCAUCCUAAAAAACUAUAGGUUUACUGCUUUUGAUACUUUUGGUCGUUCGUGGGCCCACAUGUCACUGUAAAUUAAAUCUUAUGUUUUGGUUAUCUGUAUUACAGUAUGUAUGAAUUUAUUUAGCUUUUACACUACAAAAAUUAUUUACCGGGAACUCUAUAAAUAUCAUUUUAUAAGAAAAUAGAAUAUUUUAUUGAAUAUUUUUAUUAUAUUCAAAUAGUUAUAGUUUUGCUUUAAAUGAAUGUUUUAGACAUCUAAACUUAUUUUUGAUUAUGAAAUAUGUGUUUUCCACUCGCAUACUACAUUUUUAGCUGGUUUCGAAAUUUUCUAGGAAAAAUGACAAAAAUGCCCUUGUGAGAAAAAAAAUUAUUUAUCUAUUGUUUUGAUUUGGAAAUAGUUUAUAGUCUCUCAAAACGUGAUACUUAACAACUGUUGCUCACAGGGGAGGUGCGAAAACUGAUAUUAAAGCCUUGUGAGGUUCCGGUUGGCAUUCCAAGCAAUAAAUGUCUAUCGGGACGUCGUGACGGUUGUCACGGGCUCAAAUGGAGUACUGAGUCAUGACAUGAGAUGAUACAUGCAAUGCCUAAAAUUCAUUAGUUUCUACAUGCCAUAUUUAUGCACUUUGGGAAAUCCCCAGAUAUGUUACACACCAUGCCCAUUUUCCAUCCAUAUGCUAACAACAUUUAACCCAAAUGGGCAUGGCGUGUAACAUCUUUAGGGAUUUCAACAACUUCAAGCAACACCAAAUGCCAUUUAACAAUAAAGCUCUAAACUAAUUUCUUAAGCAAUAUGGCAUUUCAAAUCCCUAAACCCACUCAAUAGCACAACAUAAAAUUUGACAUUCACUAACUUACCAUUUGUUACAAACUUCUUUACUGUGACUGAUUACUUUGUUCUGAACUUGUUCAAACACUUUUCUAUCUUUAAGAAUGAAUCAAAAAAUCGUUUAAUAAACCUAUCGUGUAAUAUAUCUAGCCUUUAUAGUUUACAUCAAUGUCAAAAACAAUCACAAAAAUCUUCUCCUGCAACAUGAGAAUGGUUUUAACAAAAUGUCGUGUAGCAAAUUUUGGAUAGAUUUAUCUUCACAAACCUAUGCGUGUAUGAGAGUGCACAUGAAUGACGAGGUUUCAUUAAGAGCAUUUUAUCCCAAAAUCUUAUCUUUUGGCUAAAAAUAAUUAAAGUUAUGGAAAAGAUUAUUUUCAAAAAUACUUUAUAUUUGAG